CCAGACACAGGCUGCUAAAUCCUCAUCUGUUGACUGAGUCUUUAAAACAUUAUUCACUUUCAUACUGACAAUGACUCAUGCUAUAGGGUUUAAUGACAGGAAUCCAGCGGUGACUUCAAGUAAUGACCACUGCCAGUGAGCUCGAGUUUUCUGCCAAGGUGUGAAGUUGGAAAGCCGAAGGUACAACUUCAUGGAGAUCAAAUCAUUCACGACCUUAACAGCCAAAGACGUAUUAAGUGGCUACCAGGACACUUCGAAAUUAUGCUGUUGAGGCUGGUUGUGGUGGCUCAUGCCUGUAAUACCAGCACUUUGGGAGGCCGAGGCGGGUGGAUCACGAGACCAUCUGGCCAACAUGGUGAAAUCCUGUCUCUACGAAAAAAUACAAAAAUUAGCUGGGCGUGGUGGCACGCGCCUGCAAUCCCAGCUGCUCAGGAGGCAGGGGAAUUGCUUGAACCCAGGAGGCAGAGGUUGCAGUGAGCCGAGAUAGCGCCACUGCACUCCAGCCUGGCGUCUGGCGACAAAACGAGACUCUAUAAAAAAAAAAAAAAUUAUGCUGUCUUCAAGGUCACAAAUUAAAGUCUUAUCUGUUACUGGAUAAUGCUAAGUUCACAGUUUUAAAAUAUUUUAUCAUUAAGAAAAUAUUAACUGCAAAAUUUUAAAAAGUACUAAGAGAAAGUAAGCAAAAAGACAGAUACUGUGAUAAAAAUAAAGACCU